UCUAAGUAUAACCUGCCAGACAGGGAAACUGCGUACGGCUCAUUACACCAGCCUUAAUUUACUUGACCUUGACAACCUACUUGGAUAACUGUGGUAAUUCUAGAGCUAAUACAUGCACCAAAGCUCCGAUCCUCGCGGAGAGGAGCGCAUUUGUUCGCCACAAAACCAAGCGCCCAUCUGGGCGUCCAGUGCUGAACCAGGACCACUCAGCUGAUCGCACGGUCUUGUACCGGCGACGUGUCUUUCAAGUGUCUGCCUUAUCAACUUUCGAUGGUAGUGUACCUGACUACCAUGGUUGUGACGGGUAACGGAGGAUAAGGGUUCGACUCCGGAGAAGGGGCCUGAGAAAUGGCCACUACGUCUAAGGAUGGCAGCAGGCGCGCAAAUUACCCACUCUCAACGCGAGGAGGUAGUGACGAGAAAUAACGAGACCGUUCUCAUACGAGGCCGGUUAUUGGAAUGGGUACAAUUUACA
rnacentral:rRNA from 1 species